CUCAUGUGAGGUGGGAGUAAAAGUGCGCACGCGUUAAUAAACAGGAAGUAAAGAUUAUAUGCAAACAUACGAAAGUAGCAUAUUAUUUUCGGUUGCAAAAUGGUGUUUUUGAUUAAGGUUUCGUGAUAAAGCCGAUAACUACAGGAUAUCCAUCGCAAUGAAGGAAAACAAGGACAUUGCAUGCUACUUCAUAACGAAGCAUUCCUGGAAAGGAAAGUACAAGAGAAUAUUCUCUGUGGGUACCCAUGGCAUCACCACAUACAAUCCCCAGACUCUGGAGGUCACAAACCAGUGGCCGUACAAUGAGUUUGUGGGCAUUGUUCCCAGUGUGCGUGCCCCAGGCAACAAUGAGUUCACAAUCACAAUGUUGAAGGGGAAGAAGACAGAUCAAAUGAAGUUCUCCACGGACCAUCGGGCGGACCUCCUCACCGAGGCACUGAGAUUCCGGGACCAGUUUGUUGACAAAAACUAUACAAAGAAGAGGUUCAACGCCCGCAAGCACCACUGGUCAGACAGCCGUGUGCCGGUGACGCUGGUUGUGUCUCAGAGUUCCCUAGACCAGGUGGAUGGUAUGGGGCGACUUCUGAGCACGUACGACUACAAGGAUAUGGAGGGUCUCGCCACGGUGUCAGACUACCCUGGUGGAAUAGCAAUAAUUCAUGGUGGAUUCAGUAGAUUGCACCUGUUUGCAGUGGAGGACCGGGAGGGACUGGUUCAGGCCAUCAUGCAGUCCGCUGCGGACUAUGUGGGCAUUGCAAUCAAGCAGCGGAAGUCACAGAUCACGUUUGAGCAAUUCAUGACACACAGGCUAGGAAAAUACAGUACGGACGAAGCGUUGACGUCCUAUGCGGAGUUCACUGUACAGAAGAAGUCACCGCGACACUCGGACGUUGUUAGAAGGACCCUGUGUCUCACCGAGACAUGCCUUGUGGAGAGGGACCCUGCUACAUACAACGUCGCCACAUGUAAACCACUCUGUGAUAUUUUUGCAAUUAUUCGAGAUCAAGAAAAUCCUCAGGAAUUCUCUGUAGAAUAUGUGAAGGGGGCCAUUCGUACAUACCUUUCGACAGACAGAGAUGCCCUCAUUGCUUCUGUUCUUGAUGGGGUUCGAGCCUCUGGCAACAGGGAUGUAUGCGUGAGAAUGACCCGAACAACCCGCGGCUACAGGUUAGGCCCUUUCACUGUUCCCGUUGAUGAGGAGGUAGAGAGCCAGCACCUCAAGUUCAUCAUCUCACCCACAGACAGCAUGACCUUCAAUGUAGCAGUCCAGCGAUUCAACAGCAACAUCUCCUACAGUGGUCUUCUGCAUGCUGUCACGCAAGAUCGCCUGUUUGCGGAGAACAAAGAAAAGUUGAUCAACGGGGCCCUGGCCGGCCUGCUUGAGCAAGAGGGAGACCAGAACAUCAUUAGCAACGAGAACCUUGAGGGACAGUUCCACGCUUUACGUAGGCUGGUUGCUUCAAAGGCGGGGUUCGGAGCUUUCACUAAACUGCCCAAAAUGCGUGAGAAGGUGGGACUGAAGGUUGUGAAGGCCUUGAAGCGUAACAACGAGGGCGUGCGCCACUCGGCCAUCGACAUGCUGUGUGCACUCAUGCAACCCAUGCACGAUGACUACGACCUGAGGCAGGAGCAGCUCAACAAGACUUCACUGCUGUCCUCACAGAAGUUCCUGAAGACUCUGCUAGCGAUGUUCAACGACCAUGUGGUUCACAGCACAGGGGCGCUUGUGAUAUCGGCCAUGUUGGAUUUCCUCACAUUCUCGCUGUGCGCUCCCUACAGUGAGACAACUGACGGCGGCCAUUUUGAUUCCUUGUUGGAGAUGGUGGCAGCUAAUGGCCGCAUUGUGUUCAAACUCUUCCAGCAUCCUUCCACUGCCAUUGUAAAGGGGGCAGGCCUAGUCAUGAAAGCCAUUAUUGAGGAGGGUGAUGCAGAGAUAGCCGCAAAGAUGCAGGAUCUGGCCCUGGCGGAGGGGGCUCUACCCAAGCACCUACACACGGCAAUGUUCACCCAGUCGGCAGACAACCGCAUGCUCACUAACCGGCAGCUGAGUCGACACCUAGUGGGUCUGUGGGUGACCGGCCAUCCCACUGCUAUGGGGCUGCUACGAAGGCUCUUGCCGAGUGGUUUGCUGACGUAUUUGGAUUCCACUGACAGUGUUCCAGUUAAUGAAGAGGACAAACUCCACGUACGAGAUAAUUUGAAAAUAGCUCAGGAUCAACAGGACAAGAACAAGAAGAACCCACACCUGCAGAUGAUAGAAGAGAAAGUAGAGCAUGUCCUGCAGCAUUGGAGGGCACGCAUAGGCUUGCAGGGCAAAGAGACAAAAGAACAACUUCCCAUAGUGUUGAGAAAACGGCGACAAAGAAUCAAGAGUGAAGCCAACUGGGCCCUUUUCUACUAUCAGUUUAACAAAGACCAUGCAAAACCAAACCUGAUCUGGAACUAUAAGACUCGGGAGGAGCUACGUGAAGCUCUUGAGAAUGAGAUGCGGGCAUUCAACGUGGACAAGGAGUUGGGCAGCCACUGUGUGAUUGGCUGGAACCACCAAGAGUUUGAGGUCCAAUACAACUGCCUCUCUGAUGAGAUUAAAAUUGGUGAUUACUAUCUACGUCUUCUUUUGGAGGAGGAUGAAGCAGAAUCAGAGGAAGUCAGUGCAAUCAAACGAUCGUAUGAGUUUUUCAACGACCUGUAUCACCGUUUCCUGCUCACCCCCAAGACCGCCAUGAAGUGUAUGUGCCUACAGGCCAUGACCAUUGUGUACGGGCGUUGCCAUGAUGAAAUCGGCGCUUUCAAUGACACCAAGUACAUAGUGGGCAUGCUGGAAAGGUGUACAGACAAACUAGAAAGGGAUCGACUAGUGAUGUUCCUGGAAAAACUGAUCCUGCAUCCAAUGAAUGUGAAAGAAAUCAUGGACGCCAAUGGUGUGAAAGCUCUAGUCGACCUCUUGACCCUCGCUCAUUUGCAUAUAACGCGAGCGACUGUUCCUCUACAAACCAACGUGAUUGAGGCUGGGGCUGACAUGAAACGAGACAGCGAGAAGGAAUGGUACUAUGGCAACAAGGACAAGGAACGCCUGGGGCCGUACAGCUUCGAAGAAUUAAAGAGGUUGUGGGAUGAAGGCACAGUGCAUGCUAAGACCCGCUGUUGGGCCCAGGGGAUGGACGGCUGGCGGCCCUUGCAGACCGUGUCCCAGCUUAAGUGGACCCUGCUGGCUUCUGGGCAGGCCGUGCUGAACGAGAGCGACCUUGGUGUGAAAAUACUCAACAUGUUCAUACGCAUGUGUGAGUACUACCCCAGCAGAGAUGUUGAUGGUGCUAUAGUCCGUCCUUUGCCAAGAAUGAAGAGAAUUCUCUCUGACUCCAUGUGUCUUCCCCACUUAGUCCAGCUGCUGUUAACAUUUGACCCACUUCUAGUCGAGAAGGUCUCCUAUCUACUCAACGAGAUCAUGGCUGAUAACCCGAACAUUUCCCGCCUCUACUUGACCGGAGUGUUCUUCUUCAUCAUGAUGUACACGGGCUCGAAUGUGCUGCCCAUCGCCCGCUUCCUCAAGUACACACAUAUCAAACAGGCCUUCAGGUCCGAGGAGAACUCAAGUUCCGACCUGAUGGUGCGCAGUAUUCUGGGCCACGUCCUACCAGAGGCUAUGGUGUGCUACCUGGAGAACUACUCACCUGAAAAGUUUGCUCAGAUAUUCCUGGGAGAGUUCGAUACACCUGAGGCGAUAUGGAAUGCUGAAAUGAGGCGAAUGAUGAUUCAGAAGAUCGCCUCCCACCUUGUUGACUUCUCGCCGAGACUGAUGUCCAACACACGGGCGCUGUACCAGUACUGCCCAAUACCCGUGGUCAACUACCCGCAGUUAGACAGCGAGCUCUUCUGUAAUAUCUACUACCUAAAACAUCUCUGUGAUACAAACAAGUUCCCUGACUGGCCCAUCAAAGAUCCGGUGAAGCUGUUGAAGGACAUUCUGGAGGCGUGGAAGAAGGAGGUGGAGAAGAAACCUCCGACGAUGUCCAUCGAACAGGCCUAUGAGGUCCUGAAUCUGGAGAAGGGGGUUGGAGGACAUGACGAGGGCAAAGUAAGGAAGGCAUAUUUCCGCUUGGCACAGAAAUACCAUCCGGACAAGAACCCAGAGGGCAGGGAAAUGUUUGAGCAAGUGAACAAGGCAUAUGAGUUCCUGUGUAGCAAGUCCAAGAUAACCGAUGGUCCAGACCCCCAGAACAUUGUCCUCAUCUUGAAGGCCCAGUGUAUACUCUUCAGCCGCUACAGGGAAGAGCUGCAUCCGUACAAGUACGCUGGUUACCCGAUGUUGAUCAAGACGAUACGCCUCGAGACUAACGAUGAUCAGCUGUUCUCCAAGUCAGCGCCCCUGUUGGCAGCUGCCAGCGAGCUGGCGUUCCACACGGUCAACUGUAGCGCGCUCAACGCAGAGGAACUGAGACGAGAAAAUGGCAUCGAGGUAUUGCAGGAGGCAUUCUCCCGUUGUAUCAAUGUGCUGGGACUGACCAGCAAGUCGGAGGAUCUCGCAGUGGAGGUGUGUAUCCACAUUGUAAGGUGCUACGCGGUGGCGUCCCAGUUCAAGGGUUGUAGAGAGAAGAUACAAGAACAUCAAAACAUUAUCAAGGACCUCUGUAGAAUACUCUAUUUCAAGAACUUGACCAAGCUGUGCACAGUGGUAGCAGAGUGUGUGAGCGCAUUCUGUGUGGACUUCUGGCUGCAAACCCACCUGUUUCAGAGUGGAGUCCUCUGGCAUCUACUGCUCUACCUCUUCAACUAUGAUUACACCCUCGAGGAGUCAGGUGUUGAGAAAAGUGACCAGAGUAACAAGCAGGAGGUGUCCAAUCAGCUGGCCAAGCUGUCUAUCCGAGCCUGCGGCCGGCUGGGUGGCUACCUUGUGAGUGAGGACUCAGAAACAAACCCCACUGACAAUCCCGCCGUGAAGAAGUCACUCAUGGCCAUGCUGACGCCAUAUUUGUCUCGCAAGCUUAGUAAUCCAGAUCCUGCGGAGUUACUGAAGGUCUUGAACAGUAACACUGAGAACCCGUAUCUGAUCUGGGACAACGCGACCCGGGCCCAGCUCACUGAAUUCCUUACAGACCAGCAGCAGAAAAUGAUCAAAACUGGUGAAUGUGACCCAGACUUUGGAGGCAUGUUUGUGUUUGAGAUUCACGCCAAAGAGCUCGUUGUGGGCGAGAUCUUUGUGCGAGUCUACAACGAGCAGCCAACAUUUGCACUCGAGAACCCGAAAGGUUUCACAAUUGAUCUCUUGGACUUUCUGGGAUCCCAAGCACAGUACCUCCACUCGCUACUGAUGCUACAGAAGUCCAACCAGGCCAACUCUCCUGACGGCCAGGGCUCCUCCCAACUCAGCAGACUGGGCCAGGUGGAAAUGGCCUUGGAGGCCCUGAGAAAUGUCAUCAAGAAUAACUCUGGAGUGGAGAUCCAGUGUAUAGGUCACUUCAAGCUGAUGUUCUGUCUCCUGCGACUUGACGACUGUGCGAAACUACAGCAGCUGGCCUUAGAGGUGAUCAGCUGCGUGUCAGCCAACCAAGAGUGUGUGAACGACAUCGCAGCCUCCGAGGUAUUGGGCUAUCUGCUCCUGGCCAUCCAGCUGCUGCCCAACACACGGGCACUGACACUGGAGAGUCUGGCAGCACUCAUGUCUAGCACCAGGGUUGUCAAGGAGGCCAUGUCCAAAGGUGCCCUUGUAUACCUGCUAGACCUGUUCUGCAACGGCACCAAUCCUACUGUAAGAGAAAAGACGGCAGAGUUGUUUGCAAAGAUGUUGUCUGACAAACUGGUCGGUCCAAAGGUCCGCAUUAUUCUGGGAAAGUUCUUGCCUGGGAUUUUCAUGGAUGCCAUGAGAGACAGUCCUGAAGCUAGUGUACAUAUGUUUGAAGGGACACAUGAGAACCCAGAACUUAUCUGGAAUGAUGAGUCGAGAGAAAAAGUGUGUGAUGAGGUGAAAAACAUGAAAAACAAACAUUACAAAGCACAACGUGACAAUCCCGACCUCAAAUGGAACCUUCCGGAAGAGUUCAACGUGGUCUACAAUGAGGUGGCUGGGGAGCUGGUGGUAGGAGGGGUAUUCCUGAGGCUGUUUAUUGCCAACCCCGGCUGGGUGCUACGGAAGCCAAAGGAGUUUCUUACAGAGCUGCUGGAACUCUGGUCCAAACUGGUCGCCAGUACCUCACCAGAUGGUGAGAAGCUGGAGACAGUGACCACUGCGGUGGUGUGUCUGUUCUCCAGCCACACUAGCCUACUGGACCAGGUGCCUGCCCUGGGGUACGUGCCCAAGGUGUUCACUGCCAUGAAGGAGAAGAACACCGCAAUACCAAAAAGUGCAAUACAAGUCUGUCAUCAGCUGGCAAGCAGUGAGAUCUGUAUCCGGUCUAUGGCACAGGUUGAGAGUGUGGGACCAAUCAAGACAGCCAUGCAGACCCGGCGCGACUCCAUAGCGCUUGCAGCAGAGGCCCUUUCAAAAAUGUUUGAGAAAGGGGAAGAGGAACUAGUUGCUCAGGCCUUGAGGACAGAGAUGGUGCAAUAUUUACUGAAGCUGUUGGAGGCAGGCCUUGAGGCGAUUGAUAACCCAGCGUCCACUAAGGCUCAAAUAGUGAAGGCAAUCAAGGCCAUGCAGCGAAGUCUUCUGUACGCUGAACAGAUUGACAAAAUCCUGAAUGCUUCGACAACAUGGAGAGAUUAUAAGGACCAGAAGCAUGACCUGUUCAUCUCCGAUACAGCAAUUGCAGGAUAUCUUACAGGUCCUACUGGCCCCAGCGUAGCAGGGUACCUGACGGCAGGAACCCGGUCCACAAUGCCUGACCAGCCACCCCCCAUGGAUCACCAUGACGACCACCACUGAGUGACAACGCACACAGGGGUGAGGGUGUCCAGGGGGAAAUAGCAGGAUUUUACAAGGACUGAGAUGAACACAUUUCAACUUCUAUACUGCAGCAUGUGAACUUGGCACACCAGAAUGUGCAGUGCUUAUUUGAGAUAGUUUAAACUGAAAUCAAGGUCGUAUACAGUGAACAUUCAUGGUAGUUUACAGUGACAUUAAGAUUGUAUACAGUGUCUCUACAAAAACUUUUUUAUUUUAAAUCAUUUAAUUGAAGUGCAUCAAUUAUUUUUGUUGACUGGGGUUUUGAUAAAUUAAUGAGAGUUUUCUUUUGUUAUUAUUUACUGGUCAAGUACAAAAAUGAAAUCUUGGUUUUGAGAAUUAAGCAACAGUGUAUUAUGUCUAAAUUAUAACAUUUCCAAGUAUCAGAGUGAUAAAUGUUUUAAUAGUAAUUAUGUGGACAUUAUUAUGAUUAAACCAUAAAAAUAAGAGACUGUUUUUGAAGCUGUGAUCAGUGUUGGUGCAAAAUGUUGCGUUGUAAUUGAAAGUCUAAAGAAAAAUACUAGGAUAUAAUUUUCAAUGAGCAAAAUCAUAUUGUCAAUAACUGUAUACGCUAUAUGUCAAAAUAUGCACACUGGGGGCAUCCUUAAUAUUGCAAGAAAUCAUUGAUUUCAUGUGAGCACAUUUUUUAUGUCCCCCACUAUAGUAGUGGGGGACAUUGUUUUUGCCCUGUCUGUUGGUCUGUUGGUCUGUACGUUGGUCUGUUUGCGCCAACUUUAACAUUUUGCAAUAACUUUUGCUAUAUUGAAGAUAGCAACUUCAUAUUUGGCAUGCAUGUGUAUCUCAUGAAGCUGCACAUUUUGAGUGGUGAAAGGUCAAGGUCAUCCUUCACGGUCAGAGGUCAAAUAUAUGUGGCCCAAAUCGCUUAUUUUAUAAAUACUUUUGCAAUAUUGAAGAUAGCAACUUGAUAUUUGGCAUGCAUGUGCAUGUCAUGGAGCUGCACAUUUUGAGUGGUGAAAGGUCAAGGUCAUCCUUCAAGGUCAGAGGUCAAAUAUAUGUGGCCCAAAUCGCUUAUUUUAUGAAUACUUUUGCAAUAUUGAAGAUAGCAACUUGAUAUUUGGCAUGCAUGUGUAUCUCAUGGAGCUGCACAUUUUGAGUGGUGAAAGGUCAAGGUCAUGGUCAUCCUUCACAAGGUCAAGGUCAUCCUUCAAGGUCAAACAUCAUAUAGGGGGACAUUGUGUUUCACAAACACAUCUUGUUUAAAAUAAUUAUAUUUUUUGAUAUUAAAUGUUGAAGUUUUUUGUAUAAAAUAUCUAAGAAGGUUAGGAAGACAAUACUGUUUGAUUUUUGUUUUUAUUUUAUGCUUUCCGGUGGUUUAUAGAGAAAUAUCAGUGAAUUAAAACUGAUAAUUUCACUGUUUCAAACAGUGAAAAUUAUCAGUGAAAAUUAUAGAUAAUGUUCAUUGUUUACUGUGAAAUGACAUCAUUUUUUUUACGAAAUGACGUAAUUAUCCCAGCGAAAUUCUUUAGUUAAACUCUUUAACAAUGUAUAUAAACUGUGAAAAAAGCAUAAAAUAAAAAGAAAAUUUGUUGGAUUCGGUGGAUAUCGAUUUUAAUUCACUCGUGAUCAUAGAAAAAAAUUAUUUUCGAUCGUGGCUGCGCCACUUUUGAAAAUAUUAUUUUCUAUGAUUACUCGUGAAUUAAAAUCGAUAAUCCACCGAAUCCAACAAAUAUCCUCUAAAUCUUUUUAUUAAAUGAUUUUAUAACUAUAAUUUCAUCAAACAAAUCCAAUAGUUGCAUUUGUAAGUCAUGUUCAUGUAAAUCUGUUGUGCAAUUAUUUAUUUUAUCAUAAUCUGCAUUCUUAUCAUCUGUAAUUUCGUUUAAAUACCAAAAGUUAUGUGUCUUAGAAUUCGCUGCCAAAAUUUACCUUUCUCAUUGAGGCUUCAUUUUUGAGAUGUUUUGAAUUAAUUAUAAGCAAAUUACUUUUAUGUGUAAACAGACAAAAGCACUGAUUUUAGGUAUUAUAUUCUUAUUGUGUUUUUUUUGCAAUUUAUUUUAUGGUAAAGUGUAUUUUUUAAAAGGAUAACUCCUCUUGCAAUGCACUGAAGUGUAGCAACACAAAUUCAAGGCUGAAACAAAUAUAUAAAAAGUGAUUUUUUUUCUUGAUUUUCAGCUGUAUUAAAUGCGCUGACUAUUAAAUGUAGUUCCAAAACCGCUGGAUUUAAUGUGCAUCAAAUCACUUUGUCCUGUUAUACAAGUAGUGGAUAAUAACAAGAAUUUCUCUCCUGAUAUAGUUUCUGGAGUGUCAUCAUUUGCUAUACAAUGUGACAUGUUUUGAUAAUUGGAUUUUCACUGCCAAUUCCCAAAAUGGGAAUUUAUUAGUUUGCUGGAAGUAGAUUUUCUUUUGUUCAUGUAUAAUACAUAUACGUUUGUUAAGAUGAGAUAGAUACAUUAUAAAGUUUGUUAAGAUCAGAUAGAUACAUUAAGUUUGUUAAGAUGAGAUAGAUACAUUAAGUUUGUUAAGAUGAGAUAGAUACAUUACGAUUGAAAAGAUAAAAUAGAUACAUUAAGUGUGUUAAGAUCAGAUAGAUACAUUAAGUUUGUUAUGAUCAGAUAGAUACAUUAAGUUUGUUAAGAUCAGAUAGAUACAUUAAGUUUGUUACGAUCAGAUAGAUACAGGAAGUUUGUUAAGAUCAGAUAGAUACAUUAAGUUUGUUAAGGUCAGAUAGAUGCAUUAAGUUUGUUAAGAUCAGAUAGAUACAUUAAGUUUGUUAAGAUCAGAUAGAUCAUAAGUUUGCUACAUCUAGAUUUUUGCACAUUAUACAUUAAGUUUGUUAAGUCUAGAUAUUGACACGUUAUACAUUCUGUUUGUCAAGAUACGUAUAACAUACUAACCGAAACCAUAUUGUCAUAUAUUUUUCAGUUGGCGAUUUUUAUCUGCAUGUAUUACAGAAGUAAUUUAAAGAACAUAAAAUCCUGUUAAGUUAUUUUAUAAAAAUAGUAUUUUCAAUGAAACAUCUGAUAUUAAAAUCUUUAAAUUUUCUGAAUUUAUUAGAAGGUCGAGUAUAUUUUUAUUAUAGAAGUGUAUUUUGUACUGAAAUUGAAAAAGUUUAUUUUAUGGUAAAAUAUUCCUUUUUAAAAAAGAAAUAUAUUGGUUAUGCUCUUGAGUGUAUUUAAGCAGAUACAAUUGAUAAAAAAUACGACUUUUUGUGUAUUUUCAAGGGAAUUAAAUGCACAUUAAACGCAUGAAAAACACACUGCCAAUAGAGCCUUAUUUAAUUAAAUUCACUUAUCGAGAAGGUAUACAUGUGUAUACACAUUUCUGUAAAUGUGUGUGAUUUAACCACUUAACUAGUGAACGUAUAUAGUGCUAACAUUUUUAUGCCCCCGGUAGUGUGGUAUAUAGCAGUUGAACUGUCAGUCAGUUUGUCUGUCUGUCUGUGUGUCCGUCCGAAAACUUUAACAUUGGCCAUAACUUUUGCAAUAUUGAAGAUAUCAACUUGUAUUUGACACGCAUGUGUAUCCCAUAAAGCUUCACAUUUUGAGUGGUGAAAGGUCAAGGUCAUCUUCAAGUUUAAAAGUAAAAAAAUACAAUCCAAGGGAAGUAAUAAGCUUUGAAAGGGAGCUAAUUUUUAAACCUGCCAAAUUCUAUAUUGAAAUUUUAUUUCAAAGCGGCGCAAUAGGGGUCAUUGUUUCUCUGACAAACACAUCUCUUGUUUGUUCUCAAAGGAAUUCUAGAUAACAUAGUGAGGAAUGUGAAGAGGGAAAGUGUCAAUGUCGAUGGCAAUGAUUAAUUAUGUAUGUAUCUCUCUACAUGUAGAUGUAUAGGCUUUAUUGUUUAUGAAAAUUAUAGGUAUUGCAUUUUAAUUGUGAAAAGAGUGCAUGUAAAGGUGUAAAAUAUGUGUAAAUGAAUGUAUUGUGUAUUGAUUGUACAGCGUUUGAAAUGGGGCACAAUGCUUAAAUUGAUGUUGUAUUGUUUUUUUAGGAACUGAAUGAACAUGAACUGAUUUUCAUGUUGUUUGCUAUUUAAAAUUUGGUGUUUUAAUAACUAUAUAUACUACUAAUAAUUAUUAUUACCUAUGUUUUAUAAACAUUUAUGAUGAAACAUGUUCAUGGAUAGUCUAUUGUUAUGUUACAUAAAUUAUUAUGAUAAAAACAAUUCUUAAGUUGAUGAUUUGUUUUCCUUCGGAAAACUGUUUAUAUGAAUAAAAUAUUACAUAAAUC